GUACACUCCUGCGGGAGGCAGCAGUGGGGAAUAUUGCACAAUGGGCGCAAGCCUGAUGCAGCCAUGCCGCGUGUAUGAAGAAGGCCUUCGGGUUGUAAAGUACUUUCAGCGGGGAGGAAGGCGAUAAGGUUAAUAACCUUGUUGAUUGACGUUACCCGCAGAAGAAGCACCGGCUAACUCCGUGCCAGCAGCCGCGGUAAUACGGAGGGUGCAAGCGUUAAUCGGAAUUACUGGGCGUAAAGCGCACGCAGGCGGUCUGUCAAGUCGGAUGUGAAAUCCCCGGGCUCAACCUGGGAACUGCAUUCGAAACUGGCAGGCUAGAGUCUUGUAGAGGGGGGUAGAAUUCCAGGUGUAGCGGUGAAAUGCGUAGAGAUCUGGAGGAAUACCGGUGGCGAAGGCGGCCCCCUGGACAAAGACUGACGCUCAGGUGCGAAAGCGUGGGGAGCAAACAGGAUUAGAUACCCUUGUAGUCCCAUGA
rnacentral:rRNA from 1 species